ACAACAUUCCGAAAGGAAUGCUAAUACCGCAUACGCCCUACGGGGGAAAGCAGGGGAUCUUCGGACCUUGCGCUAAUAGAUGAGCCUAAGUCGGAUUAGCUAGUUGGUGGGGUAAAGGCCUACCAAGGCGACGAUCUGUAGCGGGUCUGAGAGGAUGAUCCGCCACACUGGGACUGAGACACGGCCCAGACUCCUACGGGAGGCAGCAGUGGGGAAUAUUGGACAAUGGGCGGAAGCCUGAUCCAGCCAUGCCGCGUGUGUGAAGAAGGCCUUUUGGUUGUAAAGCACUUUAAGCGAGGAGGAGGCUACUUAGAUUAAUACUCUAGGAUAGUGGACGUUACUCGCAGAAUAAGCACCGGCUAACUCUGUGCCAGCAGCCGCGGUAAUACAGAGGGUGCGAGCGUUAAUCGGAUUUACUGGGCGUAAAGCGUGCGUAGGCGGCUGAUUAAGUCGGAUGUGAAAUCCCUGAGCUUAACUUAGGAAUUGCAUUCGAUACUGGUCAGCUAGAGUAUGGGAGAGGAUGGUAGAAUUCCAGGUGUAGCGGUGAAAUGCGUAGAGAUCUGGAGGAAUACCGAUGGCGAAGGCAGCCAUCUGGCCUAAUACUGACGCUGAGGUACGAAAGCAUGGGGAGCAAACAGGAUUAGAUA
rnacentral:rRNA from 1 species